AAGGGCCGAAUCAAUAUAAACAUCAAGAUGCUUGAUCCUGAGAUCAAUACAUUCUUCUAAACCCAUAAUACAGGCCUCAUAUUCCACCAUAUUAUUCGUUCAUUUGAAAGUUAACCUUGCUGUAAAAGGAAAUGUGUGCCCUGAGGAGUAAUAAUCACUGCCCCAAUACCAUUUCCAUACUGAUUUACAGCGCCAUCAAACACCAUGCUCCAUCGGGAACCAGGCUCUGGCCCUUCAUCGAG
rnacentral:lncRNA from 1 species